GCAACUCGACUACAUGAAGCUGGAAUCGCUAGUAAUCGCGGAUCAGAAUGCCGCGGUGAAUACGUUCCCGGGUCUUGUACACACCGCCCGUCACACCAUGGGAGUCGGAAAUGCCCGAAGUCUGUGACCGAACCGAAAGGAAGGAGCAGCCAAAGGCAGGUCGGAUGACUGGGGUGAAGUCGUAACAAGGUAGC
rnacentral:rRNA from 1 species